AGGACGAACGCUGGCGGCGUGCUUAACACAUGCAAGUCGAGCGGUAAGGCCUUUCGGGGUACACGAGCGGCGAACGGGUGAGUAACACGUGGGUGAUCUGCCCUGCACUUCGGGAUAAGCCUGGGAAACUGGGUCUAAUACCGGAUAUGACCUCCUAUCGCAUGGUGGGUGGUGGAAAGAUUUAUCGGUGCAGGAGUGGGCCCGCGGCCUAUCAGCUUGUUGGUGGGGUAAGUGGCCUACCAAGGCGACGACGGGUAGCCGACCUGAGAGGGUGACCGGCCACACUGGGACUGAGACACGGCCCAGACUCCUACGGGAGGCCAGCGAGUGGGGAAUAUUGC
rnacentral:rRNA from 1 species